AUGGAAGGCCCUGCCUGGGUUGGACUAUUUCUAAAGUAGUAAUUAUUCCAUCUCCAUAUUAGAGAGUUUCUUUUUAUGGUUAUUUUGCUCUACAUUUCCUAAUCCAAAAUCAACCUUAGUUAAAAAACAACCCCCAAACCUGCAGUGACACAUAGGCAGUGGCCCCUUCAAUCUGUGUGCUGAAAAGUUAAGUAGCAUGAACAGCAGACCAAACAAAAGCAGAAGAUGAGACUCUUUGAAAUGGUGCAUGAAAUAUAUAUAUAUUAUGAAAUAUAAUUACUCUGCUAAACUAGCAUCCACCCCUUAGCACAAAUGCUGAUUGCCUCAUGAUGAGUCUAACCAGAAUGGUAUUAACUCUACUGAUAUUUCUAAAUUGUUAUGUACCCAAUAUUUUCUUUUGACUCUUCUUUAUAUUUAGAUUAGUAACUGUGUAAUCACUUCAUUAGUUUAUUUAGAUUAUGUUAUUUUAGGAAAUUAUUGUUUAGAUCAGCCUUGUCCUUCCCAUCUCUCUGUGCCUUCCCAGAAUUAAGUAAUAUCUGAGGAAACCAAUUAAUUGUAACUCCACUGCUGUAAUGGGGUCUGCUCUACGAUGUGGCAAUGUCUAAUGGAGUUUUCAUUUCCCUGUAGUGAGUCAACAUUUGUUUAAGGAGAGAAGACUGUUAGGGCAAACCACACUGUCUGAAACACAGCUUCUACCAAGCCUAAGGGGUUGAACUGGCAUCUUUGGGCUGCUGCUUCUUUUCUUGGGGGUAAAAUUCACAGAGGGAAGUAGCUGGGGUAUUGGAGAGCAUCCUGAUUCCUACCACAGGUUGAGGUUUCCUGUGAAUGUGCAGAACAUGGAGGACAUACAUGGCCUUCAGGUUUCACCUCCCAGCCUUGCAGGAAUCUGGAGUGCUGAAAUGGACCUGUCACCCAGUGAAGGCAACCAAGAAAGUUGCUAAGUCGAAGUGGAGUGGCUGGAUGAAAGGGGUUUUCAGUUAAAAGUUCACAACUCUGCUGUGCAGGCUGGAAGGACUGCUCAUAGCACUGCUGGAAAUUAUUCUGAGUAUAAUUAAAAAUAAAUAAGGUAAUGAUAGCACUUUCAUUAGAUCUGCAGUCACACCAUGGGCUGUCUCUUAAAAAUCACAACAACUGCAGAGUUAGGAACAAGAAAAGACUCCUAAAACCUGCACUUUUGGAUUGGGGGGGGGGGAGGAAUACAAGCAUGAAACACAGAUUGCACCUUCAAAUCCCCGAUGGCAUCACGCUUCUUUGUUCUGCUAAGAAAAAUUAACCUCAAUCUCGGCUCAAGGUCCCCCGAUUGAUUAUCAUAGUCAUUUAAAUACUGUAAUCUCAUUUUCAGCAUCAGGGAAAGGGAGCGAAAAGAAGAAAAAGAGAAAGAGGUGGGGAAGCGAGGGGGAGAGAAAGAGAAAACAGAAUAAAUUAUCUGACAAAAGGAAAAAGAGCCUUUCUGCUUACGGAGCCUAUUUCAGAUCCUUCCACUUGAUUGGAAAAGUUGAUGAAGUUUAAAUGAAGCAGAAUUAGAGGCUCAGGCCACUGAGUAUUGACAGGGGCCCAUGGAAGAAUGUGCAAUUCAAUAGGCCUGAUUUCUGUGGAAAACAGGGGAAAGGCCUAAAUGGUAUAAUCUUCAAUCAAAUCUAACAUCGACACUGACAAGGCAGGGUAAUGAGAUAGGCCAGAUCAGGCAUGUUGGUUAAAGAAAUUAAUCCCUCUCGCUGCACCAAGAGUUCAGCUUUGAUGCCUAUUGUAUAGACCCCAGUCCCAGCCUAUCUAAAUGCUAACUAACUGCGAGUGUGAUCUGGGACUGUGCUUUUCAUUGCUGGGGCUAAUCUGAUAACAAUUUUAGCUCCCUGCUUAUGGUGGCAGAGGUAGCGCGGGAGCCUCUCACUGUGGCACUGCGGCAAGGGAGGAGAGGGGCAGAGUGUGGGGAUGGACGCAGGCACGUUUCGGCGUGUAUCAGGGCUUUAACACACUGUAAUACACUGUGAUUAGUGUAGUUACAGUCGCCUCCUGAUUGGGAUCUCCUGGGAACUACAGAAGCGCCCAGGCAGCGAGCAGGAGGGUGAUAGAGAGAGGGAAUGUAAAGGGACAUCGGGAAGUUGAAAAGCAUGCUGCAAACAAAGGGGCUCUUCUACCUGGCGAGCAGCCCGAAGCUUGUGAUUAAAACCAUCUUCAUUUUUCAGGCUAGUUUACUCUUCACUAAGCAAUAUGAGGUUCACUGUGUUUGCUUUUCUGAUUCCUC